UACGGAGGGAGCUAGCGUUGUUCGGAAUUACUGGGCGUAAAGCGCGCGUAGGCGGCUUCGCAAGUCAGAGGUGAAAGCCCGGGGCUCAACCCCGGAACUGCCUUUGAGACUGCGUCGCUAGAAUCCAGGAGAGGUGAGUGGAAUUCCGAGUGUAGAGGUGAAAUUCGUAGAUAUUCGGAAGAACACCAGUGGCGAAGGCGGCUCACUGGACUGGUAUUGACGCUGAGGUGCGAAAGCGUGGGGAGCAAACAGG
rnacentral:rRNA from 2 species